GACGAACGCUGGCGGCGUGCUUAACACAUGCAAGUCGAACGGAAAGGCCUGCUUUCCCUUGUGGAUUGCGGGUACUCGAGUGGCGAACGGGUGAGUAACACGUGAGUUAUCUGCCCCCAACUUGGGUAUAAGCCUGGGAAACUGGGUCUAAUUCCCGAUAGGACUGCAGGGUGGUGCCUGUGGUGGAAAACGAUUUUCUAGUGGUUGGGGAUGAGCUCGCGGCCUAUCAGCUUGUUGGUGGGGUAAUGGCCUACCAAGGCGGCGACGGGUAGCCGGCCUGAGAGGGUGGACGGCCACAUUGGGACUGAGAUACGGCCCAGACUCCUACGGGAGGCAGCAGUGGGGAAUAUUGCACAAUGGGCGGAAGCCUGAUGCAGCGACGCCGCGUGGGGGAUGACGGCCUUCGGGUUGUAAACUCCUUUCGACCGCGAGGAAGCCACCUGGUUGGAAGGGUGGUGACGGUAGUGGUAGAAGAAGCACCGGCUAACUACGUG
rnacentral:rRNA from 1 species